AACAAACGCUGGCGGCGUGCCUAAUACAUGCAAGUCGAACGGGGAAAGCUUUCGGGUGAGUACUAGUGGCGCACGGGUGAGGAACGCGUGGAUAAUCUGCCUUAGAGUGGGGGAUAACUAGUCGAAAGAUUAGCUAAUACCGCAUAAGACCACAGAAGCUGCGGCUCAAGGGGUCAAAGGUUUUUCGCUCUAAGAUGAGUCCGCGUAAGAUUAGCUAGUUGGUGAGGUAACGGCUCACCAAGGGGACGAUCUUUAACUGGGCUGAGAGGAUGAUCAGUCACACUGGAACUGAAACACGGUCCAGACUCCUACGGGAGGCAGCAGUAGGGAAUAUUGCACAAUGGAGGAAACUCUGAUGCAGCGACGCCGCGUGAGUGAUGAAGGCCUUCGGGUCGUAAAGCUCUGUCGCAGGGGAAUAACACAAUGAAUGUACCCUGUAAGAAAGGAUCGGCUAACUUCGUGCCAGCCGCCGCCGUAAUAC
rnacentral:rRNA from 1 species